rnacentral:rRNA from 1 species
UGAGGAAUAUUGGACAAUGGGCGCAAGCCUGAUCCAGCCAUGCCGCGUGCAGGAUGACGGUCCUAUGGAUUGUAAACUGCUUUUGUACAGGAAGAAACACCUCUACGUGUAGAGACUUGACGGUACUGUAAGAAUAAGGAUCGGCUAACUCCGUG